rnacentral:misc_RNA from 3 species
AACGCACAUUGCGCCCGCCAGUAUUCUGGCGGGCAUGCCUGUUCGAGCGUCAUUUCAACCCUCAAGCACAGCUUGGUGUUGGGACUCGCGUUAAUUCGCGUUCCCCAAAUUGAUUGGCGGUCACGUCGAGCUUCCAUAGCGUAGUAGUAAAACCCUCGUUACUGGUAAUCGUCGCGGCCACGCCGUUAAACCCCAACUUCUGAAUGUUGACCUCGGAUCAGGUAGGAAUACCCGCUGAACUUAA